rnacentral:rRNA from 1 species
GAGUUUGAUCGUGGCUCAGACUGAACGCUGGCGGCAUGCCUAACACAUGCAAGUCGAACGGCAGCGCGGGUAGCAAUACCUGGCGGCGAGUGGCGGACGGGUGAGGAAUACAUCGGAAUCUACCCUGUCGUGGGGGAUAACCAACCGAAAGGUUGGCUAAUACCGCAUACGACCGAGAGGUGAAAGCGGAGGACCGCAAGGCUUCGCGCGAUUGGAUGAGCCGAUGUCGGAUUAGCUAGUUGGCGGGGUAAGAGCCCACCAAGGCGACGAUCCGUAGCUGGUCUGAGAGGAUGAUCAGCCACACUGGGACUGAGACACGGCCCAGACUCCUACGGGAGGCAGCAGUGGGGAAUAUUGGACAAUGGGCGCAAGCCUGAUUCAGCAAUGCCGCGUGUGUGAAG